GUUGGUGUAGCUCAGCUGGUUAGAGUACCUGCUUGACAUGCAGGGGGUCGGUGGUUCGAGUCCACUCAUCAACACCA
rnacentral:tRNA from 1 species